UCAGGAGACUGAGGCAGGAGAAUUGCUUGAACCCGGGAGGCGGAGGUUGUAGUGAGCCGAGAUUGCACCAUUGCAAUCCAGCCUGGGCUACAGAGCAAGACUCCAUCUCAAAAAAAAAAAAAAGAUGAUUUGGCUAUAAAAGAUUCACCCCACCCUGCCAAAAGAAAGAAAGGUGGGCACAGUGGUGCACGUCUGUAGCCCCAGACACUCAGGAGGCCGAGAUGGGAGGAUUGCUUGAGCCCAGGUGUUCAAGACCAGCCUGGGCAAUGUAGUUGAGAUCCCAUCUCUAAAAAAUAUCUAUCUGUAUAGAGUGCAAUGGUAUAAUUAUAGCUAAUUGCAGCUCUAACUCCUGGCCAUAGGAGAUCCUCCUACCUCAGCCUUCCAAGCAGCUAGGACUACAGGCACCUAUCACCAUGCCCAACUAAUUUUUAAAUUUUUUGUAGAGACAAGGUCUCGCUCUGUUGGCCAGGCUGGUCUGGAACUCCUGGCCUCAAGAAAUCCUCCUGCCUUGGCCUCCCAAAGCACUGGGAUUAUAGGUGUGAACCACCAUGCCCAGUCUCAUUUCUUUAUUAGAAAGGACAGCUAGGGUGAUUGCCUUUCCCUUUUCCAAUGUACAAAGUUAGUUUUUAAGCUAUCCUUUUAAUCACGUACACAGAACUAAAUAUAGUUCUUGUUCCUAAAAGUCUGCAGUAUAUCCAAGCACCUGUUAGCAGCUUGCCACACACCUCCAUUUAGCUUUCUCAGCAAGGUCACUCCUCUGUGCAGCAGCAGAGAGGAGGGGCUCUCCUCCAGGGUGCAUUCUCAUUCCACCUUAGUAUUUCUUCAUUCACUCAACUAAAAGUUAUUGACGUAACAAGUGCCAAGCAUAAUGCCAGGCACUGGGGACCUAAAGAUGAGGAAGACCAGGUUCCUGACCUCAUGGAACUUGCUAGCUAAUAGAAGGAGUAUGUAGUAAAGAACUUAACCUUGCAAAGAGUGUUCUGGCCUUUGCCCUUCGCUCCUGGGAGGUAACCUCUAAGCCCUUGGAAUGUCUUGCCUGAUAAAAGUAUCUUUGUUUACCAGGAGGCAGACCUUAGGCCACACUGGACAGUCUAACAAUGUGAUUUAGGCAGAAGUCUUUGGGGCGUACCAGAUAGUUUAGCAAUGUGAUGAGGGAGGAGGGAAGACUUUGGAUCACACUUUAUCAGGUAGACUUAUGGAGGGGCUGGAGACUGAGGUCAGUCACAUGGGCAGACAAUCAGGUCCACAUGACUGAGCCCCAAUAAAAAUUUUAGACAUCAUUCCAGCCAGACGCGGUGGCUCAUGCCUGAUCUUGAUAUUUUUGAAUGCUAGCUUGAAGGACCUAUUUCAGAGUGCCCCUUACAUUUUUUUUUUUUCUUUUUGAGACGGAGUCUUGCUAUGUCGCCCAGGCUGGAGUGCAGUGGCCUGAUCUCAGCUCACCGCAAGCUCUGCCUCCCAGGUUCACGCCAUUCUCCUGCCUCAACCUCCCGAGUAGCUGGGACUACAGGCGCCCGCUACCACGCCUGGCCAAUUUUUUGUAUUUUUAGUAGAGAUGGGUUUUCACCGUGUUAGCCAGGAUGGUCUCGAUCUCCUGACCUCGUGAUCCGCCCGCCUCGGCCUCCCAGAGUGCUGGGAUUACAGGCAUAAGCCACCGCGCCUGGCCUCCACCUGGUCAUAUUUCUUUAGAGAUUAUCAAACUACCUCUUGCCACCUGUUUUAAAGAUGGUUGUGUUGGCUGGGCAUGGUGGCUCAUGCCUGUAAUCCCAGCACUUUGAGAGGCUAAGGUGGGCAGAUCACUUGAGCUCAGGAGUUUGAGACCAGCCUGGGCAACACGGCGAAACCUUGUCUCUAAAAAAAAAAUACGAAAAUUAGCCAGGCGUGGUGGCUCAUGCCUGUAAUCCCAGCUACUUGAGAGGCUGAAGCAGGAGGAUCACUGGGAGGUCAAGGCUGCAGUAAGCUAUUAUUGCACUACUGUACUCCAGCCUGAGCAACAGGGUGAGCCCCUGUCUCAAAAAAGGAAAAAAAAAAAAAGAUGGUUGUGUUAUAGGUUGCUAUGACUGCAUAUUUGUUUUCUAGCCAGCCCUCUAAACAGCACCCAGUUUCUUUUUUUUGUUUGUUUCUUUUCUUUUCUUUUCUUUUUUUGAGACGGAGUUUCACUCUUAUUUCCCAGGCAUGGAGUGCAAUGGCGCAGUCUCGGCUCACCACAACCUCUGCCUCCUGGGUUCAAGUGAUUCUCCUGCCUUAGCCUCCCAAGUAGCUGGGAUUAUAGGCAUGCACCACCACGCCCCACUAAUUUUGUAUUUUUAGUACAGACGGUCAGGCUGGUCUCUCCAUGUUGGUCAGGCUGGUCUCGAACUCCCGACCUCAGGUGAUCCACCUGCCUUGGGCUCCCAAAGUGCUGGGACUACAGGCGUGAGCCACUGCGCCCAGCACCCAGUUUCUUUUUAUUGUAGAGUCAUCUUCCCAUGCAAUAUAUUUGAGUGAUGCUAUAGUCUGGGAUAAUUGCCCUCCCUUAGUCAAGUGUCAGGCUCAUAACUCAAGAUGGGCCAAUCACAUUCUCCUCCCACCUCAGCUCCCAAGUAGCUGGGACUACAGCCAGCACGCCUGGCUAUUUUUGUAUUUUUUGUAGAGACGGGGUUUCGCCAUGUAGCCCGGGCUGGUCUUGAACUCCUGGGCUCAAGUGAUCCACCCAUCUUGGCUUCCUAGAGUGUGGGAUUACAGACGUGAGCCAUCACACGGUCCCUAACUGAUACUAUUGCCAUGGCCUACCUUGCUUGCCUUGGCAGGAGGGCCAGCUUGGCAUGAGUUAGCAAAGAACCACUAUUUGAGAUCACCUAUUUUAUCUCAAGUACUGCUGGAACCCAUGCACCUAGAAAAGACCAGGGUUUUCAACCAGUAGAUCCAGAAUAAGCAGUCUUAUUGAAUCAAAGGAUAUAUCAGCCAAAAUAAUCAACAAGCACAACUUGAUAUUUUUUAAUGGUAGCUUGAAGGACCUAUCUCAGAGUGCCCCUUACAUUUUUAACUAAGAAGCCAGUAUUAUCUAUUGAUCACUGAAUAGCAGUGUGUCCCCUGGUCGUAUUUCUCUCACUCUCUCUGUCUUUUUUUGUUGUUACAAAAACUGCCAGCUCUCACAGUGAUUUUACCACACCUAUGUAUUUACAAUCUUUUUUUUUUUUUAUUUUUUAUUUUUAUUUUUUUUAGACUGAGUCUCACUCUGUCGCCCAGGCUGGAGUGCAAUGGCGUGAUCUCGGCUCACUGCAACCUCUGUCUCCUGGGUUCAAGCGAUUCUCCUGCCUUAGCCUCCUGAGUAGCUGGGACUACAGGCGUGUGCCACCACACUCAGCUAAUUUUUUGUAUUUUUAGUAGAGACGGGGUUUCACCAUGUUAACCAAGAUGCUCUUGAUCUCCUGACCUUGUGCUCCUCCCGCCUUGGUCUCCCAAAGUGCUGGGAUUACAGGCGUGAGCCACCGCGCCCGGCCUACAGUCUGAGAAAAGUCAUGCUGAGUUCCAGUGGCUGCACUGGAAGAGUUUGUGUCACCCUAAUCCACUUGUGUUUGGCAGUGAUUUAUCCACAUUUGCUAUUUCUCCACUUGGUCAUUUCUCAUUAAUGUCUAAACCUACUGAAACCUGACUUCUGUUCCUGCCACUUCAAGUCCUCUCAAAGGACUACUGGUCUCCUGUUUUCCAAAUCUGAGGGACAUUUCCCCAGCUUUUUCUUACCUGACUUCAGCUGCCAUCUAUGUGCUGAUACCUCCAGACCUGUAUCUAUCUACUUGCCAUUCAUCUCCAGUCACCUUAAUACUCAGCAUGUCCCAAACUGAACUCAAUACCUUUCCUCCUCAAUCCCCCUCAACUGUGCUUUUCCUGGGAUCCUUGUCCUUGUUAGUGGCACUCAGUCACCCAUAUUAGGAAUCUAGGAAUCAUCACAAUGAUGAUUCCAUUUCUUAUAUUUCACAGCUAGUGAGUCACCAUGUCCUUUAAUUCCCACCUCUCUCUUCAUUUCCUCUACAACCUUAAUUCAGGCCUUCAUCAUCUCUCUCAUAGGGUACUGCCAGAUCCUCCUACCUAGUUUCCCUGCCACUAGUCUUUUCCCCUUUGAAUCCAUCCCUGCCAUAGCAGAGUGAUCCUUUCUAAAAAUAUAGGUUUGAUCAUGUUACUUCAAGGAUGUACCAUUGACUGCAAGAUACAUGUGAAGCUUCUCAUCCUGCCAUGCAAGUUCAUUCAUGACCUGACCUUAGUAUAUCUCUCCAGCCUCAUAAAUUACCUUGCCUCCUUUGCUGCCUACUUUUCAGUGAUGCUGUUUUACAGUUCUGUGUAUAAAUGCAUCUGUUUCAUACUUUUCCCCUACACCAUCCCCGCUCACUCUGACUUCAUUCACCUGGUGGAUAUACCUAUUCGUCUUUGAAGGACUCCAUUCAAAAGACACCUGUUUGAACAUUUUCCUCUGCAGGUAGAGUAGCCAUUCUUUGUGCCCUCCCCAUCCAUACAGCCAGCUCUCACAGUGAUUAUAAUAUUUUAUCACACUUAUGUAUUUACAUAUAUAUUUCCCAAACUCAGGGAAUAGUCCACAGACUACCGUUACUUUGGAUACCAGUUGCAAGUUUGGGGAACCCUAAGACUACCCUCUGGUUAUAUAAUUCGCCACAAGGACUCACAGACCUCAUUGAAAGCUGUUAUAGUCUCUGGGCGCAGUGGCUCACCCCUGUAAUCCCAGCUACUCAGGAGGGUGAGGCAGGAGAAUCGUCUGAACUGGGGAGGCGGAGGUUGCAGUGAGCCGAGACUGUGCCACUGCACUCCAGCCUGGGCAACACAGCAAGACUCUAUCCCAAAAUAAAAAAAAAAAAAUCAAGUUGUGAUUGUUGAUAAUUUUGGCUGAUAUAUCCUUUGAUUCAUGCAGCUGUCCCCAGAGUGUGUGUGCCUGUAGUGCCUGUGUGCGCCCUUUGGGGAAGUAGUCCUUCCAGACCUGAUUAUUUCUGAACAGAGUAUGGCCAAGUCACUAUUGACACUAGCAUGCAUAGCUUCUGAACUGAUAUGGUUGGCUGCUGAUAGCACAGACUAGAGCACUCAGAAAAUUAUCAAACAGAGACUAAAUGUUUAGGCACUUAAAACAUGCUCCUUGGCAAGAGGAACACAAUGUUCCUAUUACAGAAUUGACCUAAAUUCAGGAAAGAGCUUAUUGAUGUAGGCAAAUGCUUGAAUCUGCAGCCAGCAGGAUCAUCAAUGGAUGAGGGUGGGAGCGGGGAGUCUUCCAAUUUUACAAGGUCAGCUUGAGCAACUCUCUAAGAGCCGACACUAAGACUAGUUCCACUGGAUGUACUGAAGUUGUAUAAUCAGGCUCCAAAUAACUACUACCUCUGCCCAAAUCUGUUCCCAGAACUAAUCAACAUGCAGGGACCACUGCAUGUCAGACAAGAGCUGACCUGGAUCCCUGUGAAAAUCUGUCCACAGGACACUAGUGCUGCUGGAGGGAAUGGUGAAGUACUUGUAUCCAUGACAGAGUCCUAGAAAGAUGGGAAGCAAUAUGGGAGCUGACUGAAGCCACAGGAAGUGGGAUCCAUUUCCUGAAUACAAAGCAGAAACUAAUUAGUCAGUUUCCAACACAAUCUUCCAUUCUCACAGCUGCCAAAGACCUCCAGUUCACAAAUCUCAAGAGACCUUGCCUGCUCAAAGUUCUUUCUUAGCUCCUUUCAUCCAUGACACAAAAUCUAAAACCUGCUAUCUCUCUCCAGCCUCUUCUCCCAAACUGUCCUGGUGGGCUUCUUUUCUCACAGGAGUGUGAGCUCCUCAAGGGCAGGGACUAAGUACUGUCCACCUCCAUAACCCCUCUACUUGGCAGGGGCCUAGGACAAGCUUAUCUCCUGGUAGGCACAAAUGUUUGCUGAAGGAGUGAAUGAACUACAUUUGCAUUUUAUCUCUGGCAAUGUCUAAACCAAAGAAAAUCACACUUGUCUUCUCAGAAGAGGGAACAUAUUCAAAUACCCAGAAUUGCAGUUCCUGGUAAAACCUUUCGGCGGCAGCAGCAACUGGAAACUCAGCAGAAUCUUUGAGUACUAAAAAGAGUGAAAUGGGCCAAGACUUGAACAGCCAUGGUUGAAGUAGCCCAGGGGACUGAGAUGGGAAGGGGAGAUUCAUGGCUAUCUAAAGCUUAAGAACCACAAACCAGUUCUUUCUUACAAAUCACAUAUAUUUACAUUGUGGAUCUGGGAUACACUUAUCACAGUAGG
rnacentral:lncRNA from 10 species